GUUGAACGCUGGCGGCAUGCCUUACACAUGCAAGUCGAACGGUAACGGGCCUUCGGGUGCCGACGAGUGGCGAACGGGGGCGGAAUACAUCGGAACGUGCCCGAUCGUGGGGGAUAACGGGGCGCAAGGUUUGCUAAUACCGCAUACGAGCUACGAAAGAGAACCGGGGACCGCAAGGCUUAACGCGGGCGGAGCGGCCGAUGGCAGAUUAGUUAGUUGGUGGGGUAAAAGCUUACCAAGCCGACGAUCAGUAGCGGGCCUGAGAGGAUGAUCGGCCACACUGGGACUGAGACACGGCCCAGACUCCUACGGGAGGCAGCAGUGGGGAAUUUUGGACAAUGGGCGCAAGCCUGAUCCAGCCAUGCCGCGUGAAGGAUGAAGGCCUUCGGGUUGUAAACUGCUUUUGUACGGAACGAAAAGCCUUCUUUUAAUCCAGGCGGGUCAUGACGGUACCGUAAGAAUAAGCACCGGCUAACUACGUG
rnacentral:rRNA from 1 species